UCCCUGCUGGUCUAGCGGUUAGGACUCCAUGCUUUCACUGUGGAAGGUGAGGGUUCAAUCCCUGGUCAGGGAA
rnacentral:tRNA from 1 species